UACGAGGGGGGCGAGCGUUGUUCGGAAUUAUUGGGCGUAAAGGGUGCGUAGGCGGUUCCGCAAGUCCUGUGUGAAAUCUUCGGGCUCAACUCGAAGUCUGCACGGGAAACUGCGGGGCUUGAGUGUGGGAGAGGUGAGUGGAAUUCCCGGUGUAGCGGUGAAAUGCGUAGAUAUCUGGAGGAACACCGGUGGCGAAGGCGGCAUCCUGGACCGGCAUUGACGCUGAGGAGCGAAAGCCAGGGGAGCAAACGGG
rnacentral:rRNA from 1 species